rnacentral:lncRNA from 1 species
AGUCACGGGAUAUCUAAAGUUAAUCACAUAAUGGAUGUACUAAUUAUAGGGUUGACAGUGAGCUCUAAGUCAUCCUGGCAUUAAGAGUCAAAGGGAUUGAAUUAUACAGUAACCAUAGUUCAGGGUUCCAGAAUAUUUGCUUCGCAUAUAUUCGGCCUAUUCGGACGUCGGGUACCAUUGCUAGAUGGUCACAUCGAUUAGUGUAGGAAGUCGUUCCUAUACUACCAGCUUAGGUUCGAACCUAUGAGGUCACACGCAUAGAAGAUUCCUGAUUGAUCAAGAAGGCUGAUGAAUGAUUAAGAAUCAUUCAGGGGUAAUUUGGUCAAUUCGAUUGG